CAUGCAAGUCGAGCGCUACCUUCGGGUGGAGCGGCGGACGGGUUAGUAACGCGUGGGAACAUACCCAACGCUACGGAAUAGCCUCGGGAAACUGAGAGUAAUACCGUAUACGCCCUUCGGGGGAAAGAUUUAUCGGUGAUGGAUUGGCCCGCGUUAGAUUAGAUAGUUGGUGGGGUAAUGGCCUACCAAGUCUACGAUCUAUAGCUGGUUUGAGAGGAUGAUCAGCAACACUGGGACUGAGACACGGCCCAGACUCCUACGGGAGGCAGCAGUGGGGAAUCUUAGACAAUGGGCGCAAGCCUGAUCUAGCGAUGCCGCGUGAGUGACGAAGGCCUUAGGGUCGUAAAGCUCUUUCGCCAGGGAUGAUAAUGACAGUACCUGGUAAAGAAACCCCGGCUAACUCCGUGCCAGCAGCCGCGGUAAUACGGAGGGGGUUAGCGUUGUUCGGAAUUACUGGGCGUAAAGCGCACGUAGGCGGAUUAGAAAGCUAGAGGUGAAAUCCUAGGGCUCAACCCUGGAACUGCCUUUAGAACUACUAGUCUAGAGUUCGAGAGAGGUGAGUGGAAUUCCAAGUGUAGAGGUGAAAUUCGUAGAUAUUUGGAGGAACACCAGUGGCGAAGGCGGCUCACUGGCUCGAUACUGACG
rnacentral:rRNA from 1 species